rnacentral:rRNA from 1 species
UAGGGAAUCUUCCACAAUGGACGCAAGUCUGAUGGAGCAACGCCGCGUGAGUGAAGAAGGUUUUCGGACCGUAAAGCUCUGUUGUUGGUGAAGAAGGAUAGAGGUAGUAACUGGCCUUUAUUUGACGGUAAUCAACCAGAAAGUCACGGCUAACUACGUGCCAGCAGCCGCGGUAAUCGUAGGUGGCAAGCGUUGUCCGGAUUUAUUGGGCGUAAAGCGAGCGCAGGCGGAAGAAUAAGUCUGAUGUGAAAGCCCUCGGCUUAACCGAGGAAUUGCAUCGGAAACUGUUUUCUUGAGUGCAGAAGAGGAGAGUAGAACUCCAUGUGUAGCGGUGGAAUGCGUAGAUAUAUGGAAGAAUACCAGUGGCGAAGGCGGCUCUCUGGUCUGCAACUGACGCUGAGGCUCGAAAGCAUGGGUAGCGAACAGGAUUAGAUACCCUGGUAGUCCAUGCCGUAAACGAUGAGUGCUAAGUGUUGGGAGGCUUCCGCCUCUCAGUGCUGCAGCUAACGCAUUAAGCACUCCGCCU